CAUUAUAAUGAUGAGAAAACUUUUCAAUAUUUUACAGUUAUCCCUGUCUGAAUGGGUGUAAAAUGGUAAAAUCUCAUAUGUCGAUAACAUUUACUCUGAUAUUUUG
rnacentral:snoRNA from 1 species